CAACUUCCUUGCUAGCUCAGUUGUACAGUGUAGCAUAUGCGCUCUCGGCCGAGCUGAUUGGGAAAAUUACAAUAAUGUUUGGGCGUUUCGCCGUCCCGUUGAUUGUUUUUCUCCUUCUAACAAAGAGAACUCAACGGCACGGACGGUUACGAGUCUCAAAUUGUGAGAUAUGGUGUGUGGCAGUCAUGCGUCUCAGACAAAACAUCGGUUGCCAAAGUAGGAACACCGAAUAAUCACGAGGGCAAGUACUCUUACUGUCGUUAUUUUUUAUUUCCAUAAUUUCAAUAUCUCUAGAGUUUAUGAAAUUUCGAUUUAUCCCUGAAGCGCAAAAAAUUGCUUGACCUCUAGGGUGUAUCAUGUUGAACAUGCCGGUUAGCGCCAUCGUUCGACUCUUUCCUUACGAAAACAUAAUGACCACGAGUUUUAUCAACGUCGUCACCGUAGACGGAUAUCAGAAAGCCAUACAAUUUAUCGCGACGCAAGUGCUGAUGAAAAAUACAGUGGCAGAUUUUUGGAGGAUGAUUGACCAGUUCAACGUCAAAGAAAUCGUCGUCCUCAAUACGAGCCACAUAUUUGAGAAGGCGAAUUUCUUCCGUCAAAAGAACGCCGAUUUAUCUUUGGCGAAAUUGAAGUUAUUUUGGAUGACUUUAUAAUGACAGAAAAAACUUAAAAACUAUGAAUGUCCAACUUGAUACGGUUACCUUUAUGCAUGGUCUAUUUUCUUGAUAAAAAUAAACAAAAAAAAUUGGAGGGGAAUAUGCAAAAAGGUGAACGUGAAAAGGGCUUACAACUGCAUGGAAGCUGGGGAAAGUUGCUCCGCCAAACACGGAAUUGCUCAUGCAUUGCUUGCCAUGACGGAGUGACGGCCAGCGGGCUUUUCCUCGGCAUUGGAUUUGUGAUCGAAAAAAUCAAGUUGGAGAACAAGGUGGACGUCGAUCUGGCGGUUCGGACUCUGAGGAAAUCCAGACCGGCGUUUCUUUAAAAAAAAUUAUAAUAUUAUAUUUUCUGUUGAUAACUCAGAAUGUGUUUGGAAUUUCCUUUAUCGCGGCAACCGCAAUAAAUCGCGUGCGCCGGCCAUAGAGAGCUUCCGGCUUUCAAUUUGUUAUUCUCUACCGUCGGAAAUUGAAUAAUGACCUAAGCAGAAUUACAUAUUAUCGUUUGAAGCGUACAAACUCUUUUUCUAAGCUUUCCAGCAAAGUUUAAUUUUGCAUAGGUUGUUUCUGAAAAUUCGACGCUGUAGAAACAGCUGCGAUACCCUGUUGUCGGUUCACGCUGAUGCCGGAAGUACAAUUAUCACUCUGUAUUUUAUUAUUUAUCUCAUUUUCCUUAUUUUUAUUUUAGAUGCAGUAAGAACUUGUGUACGAAACUGCCAAAAACUAUUUGUACUCAUUUGAUACCUACGGAAACUUCAAGUAGGAUAAUUCCUUUUACUUUUAUCCCAUUUAUGUAUUUGCUUCAAUAUUCAACAUAUUUUAUUGCUAUAGUAUUUAGGAAGUUAGCAUUAAAAAUUUAUGAGAUUAUAUAGAGGUUCAAAAAAUUUUUGAAACCCGAGAGGUUGAGAAUAUUAUAAAUUAAAGCUUGAACGCGCCUAUCGUUUAUAAACGCAGGCAUUAUAAUUUUUAAUUACUGUGUUUCUUAUCUAUUUAUCAACUAUUGAGUAUUUCAAUCAUUGUGUUGUAUUUUAUUAAUAUUAAUGAGUUUGAAACAUAACCAAUCAAAAAUUGUAAUUUUUUGCCCUGAAAAUUUGGUUUUGCACGAUCUAUACGUACAAUUAUUUGUGUAAUUGCAGUAUUAAAAAUAUACUAUCAGGGACAAUCUUCAUUGUAUCAUUGAUAUCAAAAUAAAUAGCAUG